UGGGGAAUUUUGGACAAUGGGCGAAAGCCUGAUCCAGCAAUGCCGCGUGUGUGAAGAAGGCCUUCGGGUUGUAAAGCACUUUUGUCCGGAAAGAAAUCCUUGGCUCUAAUACAGUCGGGGGAUGACGGUACCGGAAGAAUAAGCACCGGCUAACUACGUGCCAGCAGCCGCGGUAAUACGUAGGGUGCAAGCGUUAAUCGGAAUUACUGGGCGUAAAGCGUGCGCAGGCGGUUUGCUAAGACCGAUGUGAAAUCCCCGGGCUCAACCUGGGAACUGCAUUGGUGACUGGCAGGCUAGAGUAUGGCAGAGGGGGGUAGAAUUCCACGUGUAGCAGUGAAAUGCGUAGAGAUGUGGAGGAAUACCGAUGGCGAAGGCAGCCCCCUGGGCCAAUACUGACGCUCAUGCACGAAAGCGUGGGGAGCAAACAGGAUUAGAUACCCGUGGUAGUCCAGCGCCCCUAAACGAUGUCAACUAGUUGUUGGGG
rnacentral:rRNA from 1 species